AGGUGGUGUACCAUACCCAAUCAAGAAUGUCCUGGAAAGGAUAUUAAUGUCACGUAUUCAUUUUCAAAAUCUUAUUAAGAUAAAGUAAAGAAAACAAAUCAUGAUACAUUACAUCAAAUAUACCAGGUGUAUGUUCAUCGUCCAAACUUUUCUUUGGAUUAAUAAACAUAGGAACUUCAGGAUUUCCUUCACCUACUACCAACAACUCGAUAGCAAAUCUGCUGUUAGUGAAGCUUUUAUUAGUUUGUAAAUGAUCAAGAAUGAUAUCAACUUGGGUAGAAUUCUCAGUAUGUAACAUGUGAGGCAUAAAUUCUGAGUGA